UUUAGAAAAACUAUUUUCCACAUUGAUUCUCUUGAAUCGAUCUCUCCAUCCUUCAUCCUAGGGGAUUCUUCUGUUUGGGUUUUCUUUUCUUCUUAUUCAUUCCAUUCCAAUCGAAGAAACCACAUAAGGAUUGGCCUUGUUCAAAGUCGAAAUCGUGAAUCCUAAUCCGUCAAGCCACUGGAUUUCGUCGUCACAGACGUUUCUUCUUCGUCUUUCCCAAACUCCUCCAUUUUGCACUCUGUAAAUCCAUUAUCGUCGUCUCCACCAAACCCUAAACCCCGAUCUCUCCUUGAACAACGACUAUGUCCCAUAAUCAAUUUCACUAGUUCAUGUGUAUCCUCAUAUCCCAACUCCCCUGAUUCGAUAAAGGAGAGACUGAUGCAGCAGAGACAACCAGUAGCCAUGGCUGAACAGAUAUGCAAAAGAACUCAACUUUACAUGGAUUAUGUUUGUAUUGAUUUUGAUUUCACAUUGAUAGAUGUAUGUAACUCAAGCUGUAGCUACUGGUCUCAUCGUUCGGUAUAGACUUCCAUCCAUUGAAGAAUCUUGUAGCUGCUGGCCGUCUCAUUCAUGGACGCUUGCACAUAUACCAUUACGGCACAUAGUAUUCACUUGCCAGGGUCCAUAAGGCAUCUUGACGAGCUGUUCGGUUCUUUGAUGAUGGCGAAAGUUUGUUCCUUUAACUUAGAACAAUGCAAGCUAAAAAUAUUUCAACUUUGAUUGAGAAAGGCUAUGAAGCGUUGUGAGUUCAUGACAAUGGUGGUCACAGAUGCUGAAGGUCCUCUUCUUGGGGAGAUUACUUGUGGAACUUUACUGCAAAAGUUGCAGGUAAAUCGCAGAGGUAGCAGAUGGUGGCGAGUUUGAAGCAUCGAUGGUGGAGGAGUUGUGGUGGACGUUUGAUUCACCUCCCAGGUAUUAAAUCAGGAUGAAGAAGAUCAGUGAGAUCCAGUGAGGAGGUGGCUUGAAGCUUGAAGGAUCGAGGCGACUGAGAAGAUAAAGAGACGAAGAAGUGCAGAUCUUAGAUGAUAUAAGAUGUGGUUUUCUGUUAUAUUAGUUGGGCAUUGUAUGUAAUUGCUUGCAUGGUGAGAUGCACGGAUGAGAGUAAUGUAUUGCACGUUGAUGUAUA